rnacentral:lncRNA from 9 species
GCAGAUGCCUGGCACCCACUCUGCUUUGUGUCCAAAGGCAGUUGGGAGCCCUCGUGGUGUCUGACCUGCCCUGGAGUUUGUGUGUUUUUCCUGUUGUGACCCACUGACCCUCUCAUUCACCUUGUUACUGUUUCUUGGGGAGAGGUGUGCCUCCAACAGCGAGAGGUCAGAAAGGCAGUUGGAGACCCUCAUGGUCACUGACCUGCUCUGAGACUCACCUGACCUCUUUGGUCUGACCCACCAACCUGACCCCUGGUCCAUUUAUACAGCAGAGACCCAGCUGCAGCAGCAAGAGAUCAGAAAGGUGCCCAGGCAGCUGGAGGCCCUUGUGGUCACUGACCUGCUCUGAUGCUUCACUCACCCACCUGAUUCCCACACCCACCUGGUUACUUUGUUACCUUCUUGGGAAGAGGGGUCCACAUCCAACAGGGAAGGUCAGAAAGGCAGUUGGAGGCUCUGUGGUCUCUGACCUUCUCUGAUGCUCACCCGUCUUCUCCACUUCUCCUGCCCCAUCCCUGGGUGCAUUUCCACCAAAGAGGCACAGCUCCAGCAGCAAGAGGUCACAAAGGUAAGUGUGACUUGCACCCUCACCACAUACUGACAGUAGGGGACAGAGGCUACUGUCAUGGACCACUCUGGUCUGUAGCCAAAGUGAUAAGGACCUCCAGCACCAACCUGCCAGAGGUGCCUGAAUACCUGUGAGGAGCCUGAGGUCAGAGCUCAGACACCUGGCCCAGAAAAGGAAGAAGGGUAGGAGGAGGAGCAAGGGGAGAGGAUGCAGGAGGAGGAGGAGAAUGUGCAAGGAAGCUGGAUU